rnacentral:tRNA from 1 species
UAGUUUUUAGUGUAAUUUUGCACGAUAAAUUUUGAUUUUAUAGGAAAUAAAUAAAUAUUAUUAAAACUAA